rnacentral:lncRNA from 1 species
AGCGACCUGGGGAAAGUGCAUUCCCGGAAGAUGGAACUGCGUUGCGAAGUCCCUAGUUUCUGGCAUGUUGUGGGAACAGAAAGAGCGUGGCCAGGAUCAGCUGCACUGGCUGUUUCAAGAACUGCCACAUCGCACCUCUGCUCCACUCUGGAUCCUCAGCCAACCCCGACUGGACCCUCUGAACAGGCGGGAUCUCUGUACCCAGUAUCUUUACAUCUCAAGGUGGCAUGAUGUCAUUUUGUCAUUAGGCACCACCGUGGGGACUGCAUGUUGUCAAUGGACCCACUAUGCUCAUGAUGCUCCUUAUCGAGUUCUACC